rnacentral:rRNA from 1 species
CGUGCAGGUGGUCGAGCAAGUCAGAUGUGAAAGCCUUCUGCUUAACAGAAGAAGUGCAUUUGAAACUGCUCGGCUAGAGUACGGGAGAGGAGAGUGGAAUUCCCGGUGUAGAGGUGAAAUUCGUAGAUAUCGGGAGGAACACCAGUGGCGAAGGCGGCUCUCUGGUCCGAUACUGACACUGAGACGCGAAAGCGUGGGGAGCAAACAGGAUUAGAUACCCUGGUAGUCCACGCCGUAAACGAUGGGCACUAGGUGUAGGAGGUAUUGACCCCUUCUGUGCCGAAGCUAACGCAUUAAGUGCCCCGCCUGGGGAGUACGGCCGCAAGGCUAAA